UACGUAGGGGGCAAGCGUUGUCCGGAAUCAUUGGCGUAAAGAGCGCGUAGGCGGCCCUGUAAGUCCGCUGUGAAAGUCAAGGGCUCAACCCUUGAAUUGCCGGUGGAUACUGCAGGGCUAGAGUCCGGAAGAGGCGAGUGGAAUUCCUGUGUAGCGGUGAAAUGCGCCAGAUAUCAGGAGGAACACCGAUGGCGAAGGCAGCUCGCUGGGACGGUACUGACGCUGAUGCGCGAAACCAGGGGAGCCAAGCGG
rnacentral:rRNA from 1 species